GGGGAGAAGGGGAGAGAGGGAAAGCAGAGAGGCCUUCAGGAGGCAGAGCCUUCAAAAAAUAGCAAAAGCAGGAGAUGAGAAAAGACUUUUAUUUUUAAAUAUGCUCAUUUUCCUUUGUUUUUCUUCUCCAUCUGGAUGAAAUUAUGUGGAUUUUUGUUUACCCCAGAUAGAGAGUAGAACAGUCUUCCAACUUUCAAAAAUUUGACGGUCGGUUCUAUCUUAUUUCUGACCAUUACGAAAUGCCCCCGUUCACCCGAGGAAUCCAAUGAAGUAGGGAAGAGCUGGCACUUUGGACCAGAGGACCGGGAGCUUCCUACUCUGAUGUCGUGACAAGGGAGACCCUUUCAAGAGGCUAGGGCCAGAGGCACAAAGCCCAAGCUCUGGUGAGCUCUCAAAAACUGUGGGCCGCCAUGUGACCAAGUCUGAAUGCUGGAGGAGCCUAGAGGUUCCUCCGGUCUAAUCCUGAGGCCCAGAGAGGGUUUCUAGCUCAAGGACAUAGAGCACAUGGCAGAGCCAAGGCUGGAACCCAGGUGUCCUGGCUUCUGGUUGCUGAGGAGGGAGAAUGGCCUGCUGAGAGGGCCCCUACCCAGGCAAGAAAAAGGAGCACAGAGGGUCAGCUGGAAGGGGUCAGGGCAGGACUGAGGAGGGCGGGGCUUAGAAGAGAAGAGCUCCCAUAACUAAAAGAUCAGUGGGGUGUAGGGGUGCCCUGAGAGGUGGGGACUGCAGCUCCUCAGAAGGAAAGAACAAAGCAAAGUCAGGAAUUCCUCUCUGGGGUGGAAACAGCCCAGCUGAGCAUGCUGGUCAGCAUCACAGACUCCAGAACGUGAUGCUAAGAGAUCACCUGUCUCAACGCCAUGAUUCCACAGGUAAGAAAACGGAGACCCAGAUGUGACGUCACCUAGGAGGCAGAGCCAGAUCCAGACUCAGGUCUCCAGACUCACAGCCAUCGGCUCUUUUCAUGCAACCUUUAAUCUCCCCACUGUGGAUUCUGAUGGCUCCUCCCACCCCCUGGGAACCUGCAGUCUGAACAGAAGGAGAAGGGGAGUGGCCAGGGUCCCCGCAGCCCCAGGCACCGAGAGCUCUGUACCUUUCUCCAUCCUCUCCCCAAAGAGAACAGAGAAUUGGCUGGGACCCCAAUGGCCCCUCCUCCAGGGCAGAGUCAAUUGGUGCCUGCCCACACCUGCUACCUCCCUUACUGGCAACAGAGUCAGAGCCAGCACCAGCCACAGCAAGGACAAAGCCACCUGGGCAGCUGCUGGAGCCACAGGGAGACAGAGGAAACGAAGGCCUAGGAAGCCCUUGAGCACCUGCACCGCCACCCCUCCUGAGUGGAGGCCCCAACACCCCAUUGAUGGGCUCAGAUCCCUCCUGUAACUUCUCCACUGCUGCCCCCCAAUGCAACGUGGGUGGCCUGCAGGCUGCGGUGAUCGUCAUCCCAACCCUGCUCUCCUCGUCCUCUCUGCUGGUCAUCAGCUGCAUCUUAUGGAAGACAUGCCGUCGGUGGUCUCGGGUCAGCCACUCCAGCCCACCGUCCUUGCCCAGCUAAUACAAAAACCCAGAAUUCUCACCACUGACCCAAGAUCACAGGACGUCUGCUCCCACUGGAUGCCGCCAAAGGUUCAUGGCUCCUCUCACUUAUCCAACGAUACUCAGGAAUUUGAAAUGUGGAAUAUAAGACCCAGAAAUGGAGCUAAGUUACAUUAACGUCUGUGAACCUCUGCUGCUGAGGCCCCUAGAGCUGCCCUGCUCUUCCCAGACCUGUUAAUCAACAAUGCCUUUGAUUCUAAAGACCCUCACAGUCAAUUCCCCAAACCUGUAGUUUUGGUUUCCUUUCAAUGUCAGUUUCUGAUACUUUUAAUGAAAAAAACUUUAACUAAAAUUAACAGAGUGAAGAGAGAUGAAGCUGGUAGUGUGUAUAGAUUCAGUCAGCAUGGUCCAGUAUAUGCAUAAUAUGAGCCACAUACAUAAUUCUACAUUUUCCAGUAGCCACAUUUUAAAAAGUAAAAAGAAAUUAGUGAUAAUAAUUUCAAUAAUAUGUUUCAUUUCACCCAGUAUAGACACAUAUUAUCAUUUCAGUAUGCAGUCAAUAUUUUUAAAUUGCUAAUAAGAUGUUUUACAUUCUUCUCUUUGACCAUGGAAUUUAAGCUGGCAUGGGAAUCUUAAUCAUGUUAUUCAUAAAUAGUUCAGUUCUCCAACCCCACCACUUGCUUCUGGGCCUUUAGUAGAAACACCCUUUCCCGUCCGGUGGUGGCUGGUUUUGGCCAUGUGAUUAGCUCUGGCUAAUUAGAUAGCGGAUCCUUGAUGGAACAUUUAAUUGCCAACAAGACCCUCCAGAGUUCUCUUUUCACUCUGGCUCAGUGACCAACAAUAAUGAGAUGGUGGCUUUUCCCUCAGCUGGGGCUACAAAAAGCAGAGUCCCCUGUCAAGCCACAGUGUUCAAAUUGUGCAAGCAAGAAAUUGAUCUUUCUUUGUUGUUUUGAAGCUUAAAAUGUAAGCCUUAAGUAUAAGCCUGAAACACUGGGAUUGUUUGUUACUGUAGUACCACCUAGCCUAUCCUGACUGAUACAACUGGAGGAAAGGACAGUAACAGGGAGAGAGAUAAUGCAAAAUGAAGGACUAAGAGAUUUCAGUUCCUGGCAUUAAAGGAUUGAUGUGGUCAGAAGAGGAGGGGGAAAUAACUAGAAAGACAUGAUAGGUAUUAGAUUCAUGGCAAGGUCCAGGGUAUGACCAUGGAGGGCCUGAGGUGGAGAGAGGGCAAGAUCUUUGAAGCAAGUAACCAAGAGAACAAUGCUGAUGCAUUAACAGUAUCUUCAAUUUUUGUUAAAACACAAACAUUUAUUGUGUCACGGUUUCUGUGGGUCAGGAUCAUCUGUGUAUACUGAAAUCAUCAAAGAUUAAGACAGAGACAAGGCUGGAGAGAGCAACAACCAGAAACUUAAAAAAUGUAUUGUUUCUCUUUCUGCAACAAAGAUAUGAGUGCCAUGAAGGCAGGGACUUUUGUGCUCACUUUUAUAUCCCCAGUGCCUGGGUCAGUGCCUGGCACAAAGAAGGCACUUAAUACAUAGUUGCUGAAUGAAUGACCAAAUGAAGGGGACACACUUUGACAAGUAAGUUUAGCUCAGUGAAGAGAGUUCCUUCCAGUUUUUACAGCCUUAAUCCUAUUUUUCUGCAAUAUCCCACACCCCCAGACCACAGUGACUGGACUGUAUCCAACCUAGAGUCUGCUUGUUGAUCUAUCUUGUUGUUGCCAGAAAUCUCAAGGAGCUACUUUUUAAACUCAUCCCCAGUGGCCCGCACGCUGGCAACUCUAGCUAAUACCAUCCCCCAUGCUACCAAACAGUGGUGUUGUUCUCUCCUCUGCCUUUUCCCUCAUUCCCACAUCUAACUCCAUUGCCAAAUAUCUUCCCUUUUUUUCCCCAGAUGUAUCUCAAAUCUGUCCUCUGCUCCUCACCCCCUCUAACCUGCUUCAAUCCAGAUUCUCAUCAUCAAUUCCUUGGCCUAGAACAAGUGUCCCUUCCAAGUCAUCCUGCUUUUUUUCUUUGCUUCUAAUGUCUCUCUAUUAUCCAGUUAUCUGCUGAUGCAUUAACAGUAUCUUCAAUUUUUGUUAAAACUUAAACCCACAAACAUUUAUUGUCUCACGGUUUCUGUGGGUCAGGAAUCUGGAUGUGGCUUAGCUGGGUGCCUCUAGCUCAAGGUCCCAACCAUCAUGGCCAUCAUGUGUUAGCCAGGGCCACAGUCAUGUGAAUGCUUACCUGGAGGAGGAUCCACAUCCAAGCCCACUUGUGUGGCUGUUAGACGUCCUCAGCUCCUCGCUGGCUAUUUGACAAGGACAUCAGUUCCUGGACACAUGGUCCUCUCCAUAAGGCAGCUUACAACAUG